GGGCGUGUGGCUCAGUUGGUAGAGCGUUCGCUUAGCAUACCCAGUAUGCGAAAGGUCCUGGGUUCGAUUCCCAGCUCGUCCA